rnacentral:tRNA from 1 species
GGGCUCGUGGUCUAACCUGGAUAUGACGAAAGGCUUCGAACCUUUAGGUUACGGGUUCAAAUCCCGUCGGGCCCG